rnacentral:rRNA from 1 species
AAUAUUCCACAAUGGGCGCAAGCCUGAUGGAGCGACGCCGCGUGAGGGAAGAAGCCUUUCGGGGUGUAAACCUCUUUUUUCGGGGAUGACAGGGCCGGGGGGCCUUGCGCAAGCAAGGUAAGCCCCGGCAUACGACAGUCCCCGAAGAAUAAGCCCCGGCUAACUCCGUGCCAGCAGCCGCGGUAAUACGGGGGGGGCAAGCGUUGUUCGGAAUUACUGGGCGUAAAGGGCUCGUAGGUGGCCAACUAAGUCGGACGUGAAAUCCCUCGGCUUAACCGGGGAACUGCGUCCGAUACUGGUUGGCUUGAGUUUGGGAGAGGGAUGCGGAAUUCCAGGUGUAGCGGUGAAAUGCGUAGAUAUCUGGAGGAACACCGGUGGCGAAGGCGGCAUCCUGGACCAAUACUGACGCUGAGACGCGAAAGCGUGGGGAGCAAAC